UACUCCCCAGAUACAAUCUUCCACUCGGAAAUAUCCCUUUAAUUUGCAAAGGUAUUUUUGUCUUCUGGAAUCCCUAAGUGAUUUUUCUGGUUCUACUGACCCUUGGUCCAAUUCAGCCAGUUAUCCAUCUCCAACCUCCAUGCAGAAGAUGAGGCUGAUGAUUACUGUUUAUCUCUUGAAGGUGGUGCCCAAAUCACAGUGAUUCCCUUGGAGAGAUAAAUUGCCAAAGAGCUAAGAAAGCAUCAACCCUUCUCUGAAGUUGAAUGAAAUCUCCUGCCAGGCACCCCUUGUCUUUGUCCUAGAAAUAGAUCUAGGGGCUUUAAAAGGGAGGAACAGGAAGGGUAUUUGCAUGCCUUUGCAAUCCAUCUUUCUUGCAGCUCAACUUAAGCGUGAGGAGAAGAGGUCCACCUAGAAGGAAGUUUGGCUUCAGAAGAUCAGUCCUUGCCCGUUUCUCUGCCAUGGCCCAACCAUUUCUCUUCCUCCUCUUCCUGUUCACCUAUCUUACUGGUACCUUGGCCCAGUUCACCAUGACUCAGCCACCUUCUCUGUCGGUAUCCCCUGGAGGAACAAUCUGGAUCAGCUGUACCAGGGCAGGGGGUAGCAUUACUGGCUACGUUGUGAGCUGGUAUCAGCAGAAACCUGGCACUAAACCAGUACUAGUGAUCUAUAAUUAUUCUAGCAGACCAUCUGGAAUCCCUGAGCGAUUUUCUGGUUCUUAUGAUUCUUCUUCCAAUUCGGCCACUUUAUCCAUCUCUAACGUUCAAACAGAAGAUGAGGCUGACUAUUAUUGUUUGUCUCAUGAUGGCAAUUCUCAGAGCACAGUGAUUCCACCUUAUGGGGAACUGUGACAAAAACCAGAAGGUGGCCCUGUCUUCCUUGAACGCUUCGCUCAACACGGGUUGCAGAUGGUUUUAGAGAAGAACUGCACACAGUCAGGGAAGGUAUUUUGGAUGGUUCGAGCAUUCUGGGGUCAUGUGAUC